ACCUAAGUGUAUGUAAACUUCCAACUUUAACUGUACAUGCAGGCUGGCAGAAUCAUAUUACUCUGGGCUCCGGCUAAUGGUACCCGGGCCGAGUCCACUUAAGUUUAUCCGGCCCGAUUAACUUUUUCAGGAGUAAGGCCAUUUGAGGUAAUACAGGCUAUGGCAGUGUUUUUCGUAGUUACAGUCCACCCAAUUGAAAAGUGUAUAUGCACUUCCAUAAUAUUUGUUCUAGGCAAUAAACAUGCAGGAUACCCACACAAAAAUGCACUGCCGUUAAAAUCCAGUAAAAUGGCAGUACCGUGAAAUAAUGGUUGUUUAAUUAAUGAUAUCUGGUAGCUUGCUGUGUGUGUUGGCUUCUAAUGGUAAUUUUUCAUUUGUGUUAGCUAAUUGUGCUGCACAUUUUCUUCUGUUCUCUGAAUUCUGUUUGGAAGUUUUAUGACUAACUAUUUCUUUAUUUAAGAAAUAACACAUAAGCAUGUCUUUUAUUUCAAUAUUUCAUUUAUUUCAUGCUACAAUCCACUAGGAUUUUCAAAACCCUAUUUUUAUCACAUUUUAUUUCCAUACAUCAUUUGUCAAAAUGUAUUGCACCUGAAUUUGACCCUGAAAAUAUUACUUAUAUUUUCCCUUAGCUUUUAAGCAAUUAACAUAAUCCGUGCAGUCAUUUAAUUUUAACUUCUGUAGCUAAAUAAGGAGGUAGGCAUAUCAGUUCUCGCUAAAAAUAGAUGGCUGCGUGCAGCCUGCUUGCUCGAGCACAUUGGUCAAUAGCAACAGUUUUUCAAAAUGUACACAAAAAACUUCUAAAAGUGGAACAUUGGUCAAUAGAACAGGGAAGAACAUUGGUCAAUAGCAACAGUUUUUCAAAAUGUACACAAAAAAUGUGCUAUUGACCAAUGUUCUUCCCUGUUCUUUUGAAUUCUUGUUUUACUUUUAUAAGUAAAGCGGCAGUUUGUUGGAGAGAUGAAAGUCAAGGUAAGAUUUGCUAGCUAACUGGCUAAUUUUAGCGAGCUAAUGUUAGCUCUCUGGCUAAUCCACUAAGGACAUGGUACAUUUUCAUUUCUACCUGUUGUAGCUAGCUAGAUAACAUUGACAUUUUAAUAUCUGUUUAGUUAAUGAUUGUAAAGGGGUGUGUGUGUAUUCUCUGCAUGUGUGUGAGAGAGAAGAUGAUCACAAUAACUUUAGAAAACAUUCAUGUCAACGUAGUCAUGCUAGCUGUGUGUGUGUUCAGUGUGAGAGGGAGAGAGAUGAUUAUGAUCACAAUCUAUAGAAAAUAUUAUCAUGUCAACAUUGUGUCAUGCUAGCUGUGUGUGUGUGUGUGUGAGAGAGAGAUUGUACAUUAAUACACAUAGUAAACAUUGAUUGUGUGUGAGACAGUAAGGUAGCCUACUGUAAAAGUCUUGAAAUGUAUACCUCCCCACACACUGGAUGUGAAGAUUUUCUUGAUUCAUCAGAGAUCCUUGUAUUUUGUAUUUGACAAUAGGAUACAUUUUGCCUAUCCCUGCUCCCCCUCAACACUCAUUCUAACGUUACACCUCUCAACUGCCCGUUUCAAUUAGUUCUCUGUUUUUGCAGGAAUCGUCUAGCUUGGCUGGAGGAAACAAAGGGAAGAGUACAGAAUUUAUCCAGCCUGCUGACUAAGAAAUUUCCUGAAACAUGUCAAUGACCUGAUGCAUGGCCUUUACAGCAGUGCUUCGCCACCCAUUCAGUUACCAGUGACCUAUUUUGGCACAUCCCAGUGAAAGGAGAGAGCAGAAGCAUCCUUCCUUAAAUCCAUAGUCAUUGACAUAAGUGUCAUGAAAAGCCAGGGAAAAAAUCAGGAGGUUGGUGUGUUGCAGUACCUCUGGAAAGCCCUUAAAUAUGCCCCUGACCGCUGUGGUGAAGAACGCAAAGUGUGUAUCUGACCCAUCGCAUGACUCUUGAAGAGGGCCACUACGCUCCAGAUCGCUACUACUACUACGCCACUACUCUCCAGUACCCCAUAACAACACUCUUAUUAAUCAUUCAUUGCCUUUAUAUAUUCUGUGUCCCUGUCUUUCUAUGCAUGUAGUCUGUGGGUGAAUUAUAAAACAAUUACUGUAUGCAGAUGUGCAAAAACUUGUGAUUUAGAUUUGUUUUUGCCGUUGCUUGAUCCAUUUUAAAUGUAAGAAUAUGUUGCA